rnacentral:rRNA from 1 species
UGCAAGUCGAGGGGCAGCGCGGAGGUAGCAAUACGUCUGGCGGCGACCGGCGCACUGGUGAGUAACACGUAUGCGACCUGCCCCGGGACAGGGGGAUAAACCCGGGAAACUAGGGCCUAAUACCCCAUAUGCCUGGAGGAUGCAUGUCCUCAAGGUGAAAGAUCCGUCGGUCCGGGAUGGGCAUGCGGCGCAUUAGCUGGUUGGCGGGGCAACGGCCCACCAAGGCGACGAUGCGUAGGGGUUCUGAGAGGAAGGUCCCCCACACUGGUACUGAGACACGGACCAGACUCCUACGGGAGGCAGCAGUGAGGAAUAUUGGUCAAUGGACGAUAGUCUGAACCAGCCAAAAGUCGCGUGCGGGAUGAAGGCCCUCCGGGUCGUAAACCGCUUUAGCCGGGGAGUAACGUGGGGGACGCGUCCCUCAGUGAGAGUACCCGGAGAAUAAGCAUCGGCUAACUCCGUGCCAGCAGCGGC